rnacentral:tRNA from 1 species
UCCCUAGUGGCUCAGUUGGUAAAGAAUCUGUCUGCAAUGCAGGAGACCCAGGUUUGAUCCCUGGGUAGGGAA